rnacentral:lncRNA from 1 species
UAUCAUUUUAAUGGGCCAUGUUUAAUGUCAAAAUUGUUUUACAAUUUUAAAAAUUUUAGGUUGACCCAUCUAGAAAAUAUUCUGUGCAGUCUGCACCAUCGUUAGAUUUAAAUACAUCUUCCAAUGCAUCUAGUAAUAACGAAUACUCUGUCUACACCUCUAUCCUGCAAAAAAUUCAAGUUUUACUAGAUCAUCACGAAGAAACCAUAAUUCAGAAUCAAUUUGCUAGGACUCUAAAACAAUUAUUGCUUGGACUAGAAUGUAUAAAGGAUGUAUCAAAAGAAACACUUUUCCAUCAUCAUUUAGAAAGCUUCUUAAACAGAGAAUUGGAGAGCUAUUACGGUAAAAGGUUAGGUGAUGUGAAACAACAAAUUUUAGGAAACAUUGAGUGUUUCUUGAUUGAACAAUUGGGAUUGGUACGUUUGACUGAUGAAAUUUGCAGUUCAACUAACAACCAUCAACCAGAACCAGAAAAUGUCAUGAUUUCGGCACAA